GGUUUUGUAGCUCAUGUCGUAGACGUUCUAAUCAUAGGUUUUCUUCUUGAGAUCUAAGGUCGAAUUGGCCGGAAUAGACGUCGAGAUGUAGCUCCUUACGUGUCGAAUAUGAGUUUUAAUAUGUUAUGCUUAUUUUAAUUUUUAUUUGGGAAUUUGAAUUAGAUUUUUGAUGAUUGUUUCACCUUGAACACAUAAAUAGAUAAUCAAGACAUUUGCUUUUAAUAUUAUUAGCCA
rnacentral:lncRNA from 1 species